AGAACGAACGCUGGCGGCAUGCCUAACACAUGCAAGUCGAACGAGACCUUCGGGUCUAGUGGCGCACGGGUGCGUAACGCGUGGGAAUCUGCCCUUAGGUACGGAAUAACAGUGAGAAAUUACUGCUAAUACCGUAUGAUGUCUUCGGACCAAAGAUUUAUCGCCUAGGGAUGAGCCCGCGUUGGAUUAGCUAGUUGGUGGGGUAAAGGCCUACCAAGGCGACGAUCCAUAGCUGGUCUGAGAGGAUGAUCAGCCACACUGGGACUGAGACACGGCCCAGACUCCUACGGGAGGCAGCAGUGGGGAAUAUUGGACAAUGGGCGAAAGCCUGAUCCAGCAAUGCCGCGUGAGUGAAGAAGGCCUUAGGGUUGUAAAACUCUUUCGACGGGGACGAUAAUGACGGUACCGUAGAAGAAGCUCCGGCUAACUUCGCGCCAGCAGCCGC
rnacentral:rRNA from 1 species